AGCACAAAUACUACAUGCCAGGCCGAACUUGCAAUCAGGAUUAUGUACCGAUCACUAAAGGUCUGUUCUUAUUUCUUCACCCUUUUUCUUAACAUAUUUCUUCCCCCUUUAUUUGUUGUAAUAUUUGCAACUCUUUUAACACAAGUACUGAUUCACCACAAGAAAGGUUAAUACAGCAAGAAGGUUUUGUCACAGGUGUUACCACAAGAAUUCCGCUGAACCUUUCCUAGCAUAGCUGAUAAAAGAGUGGCAAAUUGCCUUGUCAAUGAUACCAAAUGAGUCCAUAAAAAGCUUAUUGCGCAGGUUCUCAGUACAGAGAGAUUAAUACAUAAGUACCACAAAACAAGGAUGAGAUUACGCAGAAGCGUACAUGAUAUGAGCCGAGUCAGAUCCUGCUGACUCUACACUAUAUUAGGGCUAAGAUAUCCAACAUAAUUCAAUCAGCACAAAUACUACAUGCCAGGCCGAACUUGCAAUCAGGAUUAUGUACCGAUCACUAAAGGUCUGUUCUUAUUUCUUCACCCUUUUUCUUAACAUAUUUCUUCCCCCUUUAUUUGUUGUAAUAUUUGCAACUCUUUUAACACAAGUACUGAUUCACCACAAGAAAGGUUAAUACAGCAAGAAGGUUUUGUCACAGGUGUUACCACAAGAAUUCCGCUGAACCUUUCCUAGCAUAGCUGAUAAAAGAGUGGCAAAUUGCCUUGUCAAUGAUACCGAAUGAGUCCAUAAAAAGCUUAUUGCGCAGGUUCUCAGUACAGAGAGAUUAAUACAUAAGUACCACAAAACAAGGAUGAGAUUACGCAGAAGCGUGCAUGAUAUGAGCCGAGUCAGAUCCUGCUGACUCUACACUAUAUUAGGGCUAAGAUAUCCAACAUAAUUCAGAUCUCAAAGCAUCGUCUAGACCCUGACCCCGGAAGGCCAAGAAGAGCACCUGAAAUGAGGAGGAUGUACUAGCCAGUCCCGACUAGAGCAGUCUACCAUAAUUAGAUGAGUGCAAUGCUGCUCUCGCCAC
rnacentral:lncRNA from 1 species